CCUACGGGAGGCAGCAGUAAGGAAUAUUGGUCAAUGGACGCAAGUCUGAACCAGCCAUGCCGCGUGGAGGAUGAAGGUCCUCUGGAUUGUAAACUUCUUUUAUCUGGGACGAAAAAGGGUCUUUCUAGAUCAACUGACGGUACCAGAUGAAUAAGCACCGGCUAACUCCGUGCCAGCAGCCGCGGUAAUACGGAGGGUGCAAGCGUUAUCCGGAUUCACUGGGUUUAAAGGGUGCGUAGGUGGGUUGGUAAGUCAGUGGUGAAAUCCCCGAGCUUAACUUGGGAACUGCCAUUGAUACUAUCAAUCUUGAAUACCGUGGAGGUCAGCGGAAUAUGUCAUGUAGCGGUGAAAUGCUUAGAUAUGACAUAGAACACCAAUUGCGAAGGCAGCUGGCUACACGAAUAUUGACACUGAUGCACGAAAGCGUGGGGAUCAAACAG
rnacentral:rRNA from 1 species